rnacentral:tRNA from 1 species
UGGGGUGUAGUUCAGUUGGUAGAACGCCUGGUUCUGGCCCAGGAAGUCGGGGGUUCAAGUCCUCCCGCCCCAGCCA